rnacentral:rRNA from 1 species
GACGAACGCUGGCGGCGUGCUUAACACAUGCAAGUCGAACGGAAAGGCCCUGCUUUUGUGGGGUGCUCGAGUGGCGAACGGGUGAGUAACACGUGAGUAACCUGCCCUUGACUUUGGUAUAACUUCAGGAAACUGGGGCUAAUACCGGCUCGGAGCUCCUGCUGCAUGGUGGGGGUUGGAAAGUUUCGGCGGUUGGGGAUGGACUCGCGGCUUAUCAGCCUGUUGGUGGGGUAGUGGCUUACCAAGGCUUUGACGGGUAGCCGGCCUGAGAGGGUGACCGGCCACAUUGGGACUGGAAUGAGGCCCAGACCCCUACGGGAGGGAAGAGUGGGGAAGAGUGCACUAUGGGAUGAAGGCUGAUGCAACCAAGCCGCGUGGCGGGUGACGGCCUUCAGGUUGGAAACCGCUUUCGCCUGUGACGAAGCGUGAGUGACGGUAAUGGGUAAAGAAGCACCGGCUAACUACGUG